rnacentral:rRNA from 1 species
AGUGAACGCUGGCGGUAGGCCUAACACAUGCAAGUCGAACGGCAGCACAGUAAGAGCUUGCUCUUACGGGUGGCGAGUGGUAGACGGGUGAGGAAUACAUCGGAAUCUACUUUUUCGUGGGGGAUAACGUAGGGAAACUUACGCUAAUACCGCAUACGACCUACGGGUGAAAGCAGGGGAUCUUCGGACCUUGCGCGAUUGAAUGAGCCGAUGUCGGAUUAGCUAGUUGGCGGGGUAAAGGCCCACCAAGGCGACGAUCCGUAGCUGGUCUGAGAGGAUGAUCAGCCACACUGGAACUGAGACACGGUCCAGACUCCUACGGGAGGCAGCAGUGGGGAAUAUUGGACAAUGGGCGCAAGCCUGACCCAGCCAUACCGCGUGGGUGAAGAAGGCCUUCGGGUUGUAAAGCCCUUUUGUUGGGAAAGAAAAGCAGCAGGUUAAUACCCCGCUGUUCUGACGGUACCCAAAGAAUAAGCACCGGCUAACUUCGUG